UAGUAGCCUUCAACCCGUGGCUCUAGACAUCCUGCACCCUCUUCAGAUCAACAAGUCUAUAUUGAUUUGCACUUUGCGACCAUCCUUGUGUUGUCUUAACAGCUCACAUUUAUCUAGUGAGAUUGAUAUUUGUUUUGUUUUUUAGAUCCUCACAACAAAUUUUCAUGGAAGUGACAGAGGAAUCACCACAUUUGGACUCAAACACCUCAGUCCCCAAUGUGCUACAGGAAGAAAUAGAAAUGGCACUUAAGAAGAUAAAGUCAGGAAGAGCAGCUGAACCAGACAAAGUAGACACAGGAAAACUUAAGAACAAGAUCUUCCCUGCCUUUGAGAUUUUCCUGCAGCAAUUCCAGGUGCUGUGAGGAAGGAAAAUAACAAAGAAAAAAAAGCCUGUCCUCAGGGAGAAGGCAAGAUGCACAGGAAAUAAUUAGUGAUUAAUUUAGGUAUGGAAUUUAUACACCAAAAAUAAACUGGUUCAGAUCAUCUGCGUU
rnacentral:lncRNA from 1 species